rnacentral:piRNA from 1 species
UGUGUCGUGGUUAUGGUGUGCUAGGACA